UCUAAUAUGGCAGAAUAGUGCAUUAGAUUUAAGCUCUAAAUAUAAAGUGUUAUACUUUUAUUAGAA
rnacentral:tRNA from 1 species